rnacentral:rRNA from 1 species
UGGGGAAUAUUGCACAAUGGGCGCAAGCCUGAUGCAGCCAUGCCGCGUGUGUGAAGAAGGCCUUCGGGUUGUAAAGCACUUUCAGCGAGGAGGAAGGUGGUGAGCUUAAUACGCUCAUCAAUUGACGUUACUCGCAGAAGAAGCACCGGCUAACUCCGUGCCAGCAGCCGCGGUAAUACGGAGGGUGCAAGCGUUAAUCGGAAUUACUGGGCGUAAAGCGCACGCAGGCGGUUUGUUAAGUCAGAUGUGAAAUCCCCGGGCUCAACCUGGGAACUGCAUUUGAAACUGGCAAGCUAGAGUCUCGUAGAGGGGGGUAGAAUUCCAGGUGUAGCGGUGAAAUGCGUAGAGAUCUGGAGGAAUACCGGUGGCGAAGGCGGCCCCCUGGACGAAGACUGACGCUCAGGUGCGAAAGCGUGGGGAGCAAAACAGGAUUAGAUACCCUGGUAGUCCACGCUGUAAACGAUGUCGAUUUGGAGGUUGUGCCCCUUGAGGCGUGGCUUCCGGAGCUAACGCGUUAAAUCGACCGCCUGGGGAGUACGGCCGCAAGGUUAAAACUCAAAUGAAUUG